GGGUAUAUGCCCACAUGUACUAAAAUUAAUGAUACAGAGAAGAUUAGCAUGGCCCCUGCACAACGGUCUAACUUCUCAUAGCCAUGGUGUGGUCUU
rnacentral:snRNA from 1 species